AUUGAACGCUGGCGGCAGGCCUAACACAUGCAAGUCGAACGACUGGCGGACGGGUGAGUAAUGUCUGGGAAACUGACUGAUGGAGGGGGGUAACUACUGGAAGCGGUCGCUAUUACCGCAUAGCCUCUGAUGUGCCCAGAUGGGAUUAGCUAGUCGGUGGGGUAAAGGCUCACCUAGGCGACGAUCCCUAGCUGGGCUUCGCGGCUUACCGUCCACACUGGAACUGAGACACGGGCCAGACUCCUACGGUCUGGAGCGGUUGGGAAUAAUGCACAAGUGGCGCAAGUCUGAGGCAGCCAUGCCGCGUGUAGGAAGAAGGCCUUCGUGUUUUAAAGGACUUUCAUCGUCGAGGCGUUUCCCGCAGAAGAAGAACCGGCUAAGUCCGAGCCAGCAGCCGCGGUAAUAG
rnacentral:rRNA from 1 species